ACAAGAAGCACUUUUAAGAAAGAAACAAACAAAUUAAUCUCCAUGUGCUUCAGGAAAGACACUGUAGCUGGAAGCAGGCCAGGUUUUCACUCUGAAGGAUGCUCUGCGCUUGGCAAAGCCCAGAAAUGUGUGUCUGCAAUGGCUCUUCUGCUAAGAUUUUGAAAUUUAAUAAUUACCAUCCCUUAAAGGAGGAACUGCAGCUUAGUGGGAGCAUAGCAUCUAGCAAGGAAAAACCCCACCGCGUUAGCAGCAAUGAAGAGUUUGUUACGCAGGAGCUGCACAAACAGAACGGAGCUCUCGGAGAGGAGCGCUCAGACUGCGCCAUGUGGCAGCCCCGAGCCGAGGUCACGGCGCGGGGCUUGCGGCGAGCCGGCCCAGAGGUAGGCUGAUGACAGCUGAAGAAGACUGUAUUUGCUGAAGAGCAGCAUGAUGGUAGAGAGGAGCGGAGCUCCUGAGGGAGAUCUAAUGGUGCCUCUCCUUCCUGCACAGAGAUAAAGACUUAUAAUAAGCGUGUAUGUUCACCAUCUGGCUCUGUGCAUGUGGUCCUUAUGGAGGCGAAAGCAGCACAAUCUGUAAAUGAUCAGGAGCCAUCGCACUCUCUCCAGAGAAUCCACGAUGCAAUCAAGGUGACAGAUGGCAUGGCCGCUGCUGUGGCCUCAUGGAGAAGAUCAAAAUCACCUUCAAUAAACUCUGACUGAAAUGGGCAUGAGCACCUCAAAAAAGUCAGUUUGUCAGUCAAACUGCGACAGCAAGCUGCAUUGGGGAAACAUAGCAGCCAGCUCUCUGUUUUCAAUCGUUUCCGUCUGACUGAGCCUGAACUAUGAUCUUUCUCAAAUUGUCCUUUCUGUUUAGCUGAAGCAGGCCAGCAAAUUGCCAGAUUCAUAGCUUUAUUGAAGGAAAUUGAAAACAUGAUGUCCUCAAUUCAAGGGACAAACAGCUGGCAGGUGCUUGGACACCCAAGCACAUAAAAUGGACCCCUGGUCUUUUGGACAAGUUUGUCCAACUUUUGUCAGAGUAAAUAUAGAUAUAUGAUAAAAUAGAUAUAAUAAAAUCCCAAUUUAGGCAGGGUUUAUCAGGCAUUAGCUGACAGCAAUUA